rnacentral:sRNA from 1 species
AUUCUGCCCAUGCGGGGAAGGAUGAGAAGCUUCGACCAAGGUUCGACUCGAGCGCCAGCGAGAGAGCGUUGCCGCAGGCAACGACCCGAAGGGCGAAGUGCGCAGCGCUGAGUAAUCCUUCCCCCACCACCA